rnacentral:tRNA from 1 species
GGCAAGAUGGCCGAGCGGUCUAUGGCGUGUGACUCAAGUUCUCAUCAUCGAAAGAUGGCGGGGGUUCGAAUCCCCCUCUUGUCA